rnacentral:rRNA from 1 species
AGUGAACGCUGGCGGUAGGCCUAACACAUGCAAGUCGAACGGCAGCACAGUAAGAGCUUGCUCUUACGGGUGGCGAGUGGCGGACGGGUGAGGAAUACAUCGGAAUCUACUUUUUCGUGGGGGAUAACGUAGGGAAACUUACGCUAAUACCGCAUACGACCUACGGGUGAAAGCAGGGGAUCUUCGGACCUUGCGCGAUUGAAUGAGCCGAUGUCGGAUUAGCUAGUUGGCGGGGUAAAGGCCCACCAAGGCGACGAUCCGUAGCUGGUCUGAGAGGAUGAUCAGCCACACUGGAACUGAGACACGGUCCAGUCUCCUACGGGAGGCGGCAGUGGGGAAUAUUGGACAAUGGGCGCAAGCCUGAUCCAGCCAUACCGCGUGGGUGAAGAAGGCCUUCGGGUUGUAAAGCCCUUUUGUUGGGAAAGAAAAGCAGCAGGUUAAUACCCCGCUGUUCUGGCGGUACCCAAAGAAUAAGCACCGGCUAACUUCGUG